rnacentral:misc_RNA from 1 species
AAGUCGUAACAAGGUUUCCGUAGGUGAACCUGCGGAAGGAUCAUUAAUCGAAACCAAGGCUGACCCGAAACCCCCGCGGGAGGGCUCCUCUUUGGCGGGGAAAGAGGGCAGACCUGGAAACCACACUGUGGAAGAUCCCGUUGCUUUGGCAGCCGUCCAGGACUUCCCCUCCGGGGCUUGGAUACUAAGUCUGUCGAAAGCUAUCAGUCUCAACUCUUUGGUGGAACUGUCUGAAUGAAAAAAUUGACAUGAAUAUACAAAACUUUCAACAACGGAUCUCUUGGUUCUC